rnacentral:rRNA from 1 species
CUGCCCAUCAGAAGGGGAUAACACUUGGAAACAGGUGCUAAUACCGUAUAACAAUCGAAACCGCAUGGUUUUGAUUUGAAAGGCGCUUUCGGGUGUCGCUGAUGGAUGGACCCGCGGUGCAUUAGCUAGUUGGUGAGGUAACGGCUCACCAAGGCCACGAUGCAUAGCCGACCUGAGAGGGUGAUCGGCCACAUUGGGACUGAGACACGGCCCAAACUCCUACGGGAGGCAGCAGUAGGGAAUCUUCGGCAAUGGACGAAAGUCUGACCGAGCAACGCCGCGUGAGUGAAGAAGGUUUUCGGAUCGUAAAACUCUGUUGUUAGAGAAGAACAAGGAUGAGAGUAACUGUUCAUCCCUUGACGGUAUCUAACCAGAAAGCCACGGCUAACUACGUGCCAGCAGCCGCGGUAAUACGUAGGUGGCAAGCGUUGUCCGGAUUUAUUGGGCGUAAAGCGAGCGCAGGCGGUUUCUUAAGUCUGAUGUGAAAGCCCCCGGCUCAACCGGGGAGGGUCAUUGGAAACUGGGAGACUUGAGUGCAGAAGAGGAGAGUGGAAUUCCAUGUGUAGCGGUGAAAUGCGUAGAUAUAUGGAGGAACACCAGUGGCGAAGGCGGCUCUCUGGUCUGUAACUGACGCUGAGGCUCGAAAGCGUGGGGAGCAAACAGGAUUAGAUACCCUGGUAGUCCACGCCGUAAACGAUGAGUGCUAAGUGUUGGAGGGUUUCCGCCCUUCAGUGCUGCAGCUAACGCAUUAAGCACUCCGCCUGGGGAGUACGACCGCAAGGUUGAAACUCAAAGGAAUUGACGGGGGCCCGCACAAGCGGUGGAGCAUGUGGUUUAAUUCGAAGCAACGCGAAGAACCUUACCAGGUCUUGACAUCCUUUGACCACUCUAGAGAUAGAGCUUCCCCUUCGGGGGCAAAGUGACAGGUGGUGCAUGGUUGUCGUCAGCUCGUGUCGUGAGAUGUUGGGUUAAGUCCCGCAACGAGCGCAACCCUUAUUGUUAGUUGCCAUCAUUCAGUUGGGCACUCUAGCAAGACUGCCGGUGACAAACCGGAGGAAGGUGGGGAUGACGUCAAAUCAUCAUGCCCCUUAUGACCUGGGCUACACACGUGCUACAAUGGGAAGUACAACGAGUUGCGAAGUCGCGAGGCUAAGCUAAUCUCUUAAAGCUUCUCUCAGUUCGGAUUGCAGGCUGCAACUCGCCUGCAUGAAGCCGGAAUCGCUAGUAAUCGCGGAUCAGCACGCCGC